rnacentral:rRNA from 1 species
UACGGAGGGUGCAAGCGUUAUCCGGAUUCACUGGGUUUAAAGGGUGCGUAGGCGGGCAGGUAAGUCAGUGGUGAAAUCUCCGGGCUUAACCCGGAAACUGCCGUUGAUACUAUCUGUCUUGAAUAUCGUGGAGGUAAGCGGAAUAUGUCAUGUAGCGGUGAAAUGCUUAGAUAUGACAUAGAACACCCAUUGCGAAGGCAGCUUACUAGACGAUCAUUGACGCUGAGGCACGAAAGCGUGGGGAGCAAACAGG